rfam:Oryza sativa (indica cultivar-group) chromosome 3, whole genome shotgun sequence.
AAUAAACCUUGGAUUUCCGUAUCCAAUAUUUAACCGUCCGUAUUAUUUUAAAAAAAAUAUAAAAAAAAUUAAAAAGACAAAUCACGCAUAAAGUAUUAAUCAUAUUUUAUCAUCUAACAAUAAUAAAAAUACUAAUUAUAAAAAAAAUUUAUAUAAGAUGGACAGACAAAUAUUGGACACGGAAAUUUAAGGUUUGUUUUUUU